rnacentral:rRNA from 1 species
GGAGCUUGCUCCUUUGACGUUAGCGGCGGACGGGUGAGUAACACGUGGGCAACCUACCCUAUAGUUUGGGAUAACUCCGGGAAACCGGGGCUAAUACCGAAUAAUCUAUUUCACCUCAUGGUGAAAUACUGAAAGACGGUUUCGGCUGUCGCUAUAGGAUGGGCCCGCGGCGCAUUAGCUAGUUGGUGAGGUAAUGGCUCACCAAGGCGACGAUGCGUAGCCGACCUGAGAGGGUGAUCGGCCACACUGGGACUGAGACACGGCCCAAACUCCUACGGGAGGCAGCAGUAGGGAAUCCUCCACAAUGGGCGAAAGCCUGAUGGAGCAACGCCGCGUGAGUGAAGAAGGUUUUCGGAUCGUAAAACUCUGUUGUAAGGGAAGAACAAGUACAGUAGUAACUGGCUGUACCUUGACGGUACCUUAUUAAAAAGCCACGGCUAACUACGUGCCAACAGCCGCGGUAAUACGUAGGUGGCAAGCGUUGUCCGGAAUUAUUGGGCGUAAAGCGCGCGCAGGCGGUCCUUUAAUUCUGAUGUGAAAGCCCACGGCUCAACCGUGGAGGGUCAUUGGAAACUGGGGGACUUGAGUGCAGAAGAGGAAAGUGGAAUUCCAAGUGUAGCGGUGAAAUGCGUAGAGAUUUGGAGGAACACCAGUGGCGAAGGCGACUUUCUGGUCUGUAACUGACGCUGAGGCGCGAAAGCGUGGGGAGCAAACGGGAUUAGAUACCCUGGUAGUCCACGCCGUAAACGAUGAGUGCUAAGUGUUAGGGGGUUUCCGCCCCUUAGUGCUGCAGCUAACGCAUUAAGCACUCCGCCUGGGGAGUACGGUCGCAAGACUGAAACUCAAAGGAAUUGACGGGGGCCCGCACAAGCGGUGGAGCAUGUGGUUUAAUUCGAAGCAACGCGAAAAACCUUACCAGGUCUUGACAUCCCGUUGACCACUGUAGAGAUAUAGUUUCCCCUUCGGGGGCAACGGUGACAGGUGGUGCAUGGUUGUCGU